AAACUGAAAAUGCAUCACAAAAUUUCUCCAGUGGUUGAAUUAUCUCCAGGCAAUGCAGUUGAAUGUCUCUGAUUAACCUAACUGCCAGCUCUCAAUCAAGUUUUAGUUGCAGAAGGAUAUGCAAUAGUUCUGACGAAAAUAGAAGAAUAUCUGAAUCCUGAAAUUUCAGAUAUGCAAUAUUUCUGCAGCUUAUUGGUUUUAUUUUCUGCCAUCAGAUUUUACAUUUACAGGUCGAAAUGAAGUAAUGGCUACCACUUUUUUGCUUGUUUCUAUAUGUAUGCAGCCAUGGCUAUCUUUACUAACCUAGCUGUGUCAAGACCUCCUCCCACAUGAUCGGGUUCCCUUGAGAUCUCCUCUCCCCACCUAAGCACUGGAUUAUGCAUGUUAGGCAGGUUUCUCUCUAUCCCGUUCCAUGGCAGCAGACAUUGCUGGAUGUUUUUAGCAAGAGUGAUGCCAUCUUGAUCUCCUUGGGUACUGGAGCCCUCACUUCCUAUAUCACAUAGGAUUGGUGAUGGCUAGGCUGAGCUCGCUCGCAGAUGGAUUCGCAUACUAUGACAAAUAUUCCAAGGUCUGGAAAAAAAAUCAUGAGCCACAUGAUAUGUAGGGUUGAUCUACUGACAUUAACAUGCUUCAGUUUUUGGUAUUUUGUUCAUGCUUUCAAAUUCCUUGGUUGAUUGUUGUUAGGACCAACCCAAUCUAAUGAUAAUUAUUUAAAUAUUAUAGUUCCUUACAUGCGAGCAAAUGAUUGACCUGUUCAAGUAAAAGAACAAAUGAUUGCUUUAUUAUUGCUUUUCACUCUGUGUGUGCGUGUUUUUGUUGCUCAUAGCAUAUUGUCCUCUAUACAUCUUCUACAGAGCAUCCACCAAUGGAGGACGCAUAUAUGGUGGCAGAAAGAAUUCUAUUUAGAAAGAAGUAAUGAUUAGCUUAUUUCUCAUGCAGCAUAUAUCUAUUUCAUUUCUGAUAGAUCAUUUAAAUGUUUGCUGACUCAGCAAUGAUCGCUACAAUGAACACUAUGGCAAGGUACGGCAACAAGUAUGGCAACGACUCUGUCCCUCCUGUGAAUCCAUCGGCUAACCCCAAUCUGGUGAUAUAUGUGGUCUUCAGACUGAUCAUCAGAUUAUUUAGGUUUAAUCCCAUGAUGGCAUGCCAUCUUCAUUGGCAUUGUUGAUCCAUAUCUCAUCGAAGUCCUCUAUAAUCCUGUAAAUCUUUAUAUACAAAGCAUCCGACCUUUGAAUCUGGUUGCAUUAAAGGAGCUCUGCAAAGCAUUUCCAUUUCUCAGCGUUUCUUGUUUACCACUUUACCAAUAUAUAAUUUUCAAGUUUCAGAAGCUUCUUGAGAUAUUAUUGAGAUAUUAUUGUGAGGUAAUAAUAUGUUGCUCAUGUACCAUCUGAAUUAAAAUUUGGUACAUCUCCAUCUAAUCCCAUGAUAAAUAGUGAUAACCUAUUUCUGAAAUAUUUGGAUCCCACUUUUUUUAAUCUCAAAUUAUGAAACCCUGUAUAUAUACAUGCAAGACAAUUUCCUAUCCAGGACGAUGCUGCUGCAGGGAUGGAAGAAGAAAGGUUGAUAGGUCUAUGUCCAGCUUCUUUGGUUAUUCAACUAAGAUAUUCAGCAAUAGUCUUAUCUUAUUUUUGAUACAACAGUAAGUGACUUCAUGUUCAUAUUUUUUUACACUGAUAUUGAUUGUGCAACCUGGAUUUCUUUGCAGUUUUACCGGCAUGUUCAUACGAUGGAGAGGAUAGUGUAAGUUCAGACCCACCAAAUGUGUUUUUUCCUACCUCCACCCUCGAGACAGGUUUUGUAUUAUUUCUUCGAGCCUUUCGCUUGUAGCAAGUUGAUUCUGAUUCUCGGUGAGUUCAUAGAUAUCGAGGCAUUCAUUGAGUAUGUUUCCUUUUGCUUCCAUUUUGGUUCAAUCAAUUCAUACAAUUGGUGCUUCAGUAUACUGCUACUCAUUUGGCACCCUUGUGGACAUAAAUUUGCUGUCUAGUUCCACGUUCUUCACAAAUAAUCGGAUAUAUAUAUAAUGCCAAAACGUGCCUUGCACGUGCACGAUAACUAGUAUAUAAAUGUGUACUACUCCCUCCAUUUCUAAAUGAUCUUCGCAUUACCAAAAGUAAAAAGUUUCAAUUUGAUCUUCGUAUUUCAUUAGGAAGCAGCAGAAAUCAUGGGUAGACGAUAAUGGCGCUUCGUAUUAAGCAGCACUACAUGCAUGCAUUGGCUCUGUGAGAGUUAAGUUGGGAGCUGCUGCAUGCGUGGAAUUAAUGCAUUAUAGCUGAUUGGCUGGUGCACGCGGCAUGCAAAAUUGAUGAAGCGACAUGCACGGAUAGAUGGGAUAGUAACUGCUCCUUGGUCUUGCUGCUUAGGUGAAAUAUGAAGAUCAUUUAGAAAUUUAGGGAGUAUGUCACAAUGAUGACAAGAGACCAUUCUACGUCAGCAAAGGAAUUAAAAAUGACCGUUUCGGUCCUAAUAAAAGGGAACGGGCCGGUGAGCACAAAGAGAUAGCUAGUGAACCCUUGAUAGUGUUUUCUACAGAUAGUAGAAAUUAUUGGGACUCUUUUUCUUACCCAAUAAACUAUAUCUAUUUCUACUUUUAGUACACCUUAACUAGUAGUACUAGUAGUUAAAAAAAAUUAAUUGUUUAUAUUGAAAUUAGAACACAAUCAAUGGGUUAGAUCAUUUACCUGGUGAUAUUACUGACAGUGGAACAAUUGACCUUAUGGCACUUUGUAAGAGGGAUUAAAUAUAUCUGGCAAAGAGUGGAAAAUAGGUAAAUAUAACCUGUUGAUGAACAAAUACUACUAAUUAAUUAAUAGACAGCACCAUAAAGAUAUGCACGAUAAGGUUUUUUUUUUAAAAAAAAGGCAAAAGUUUUAACUCGUAUAUAUAAUGAUAGAGCAGAGAGAACAUAUUCACAGAGCUUUUAUAAGGACAGAAACCCACGAAAAGGCUAAGGACCAUGAAGAAUAUAAAGGAAACUUUAUGUAUUUAUAUCGAGGGGGUUUCUCAAUUUAAUUAAUUAUGACUUCAGCUUGGUAGGUUCAGUUGACACACACACACAUAUAUAUAUCUGUGUGUGUGUCAAGCACUAACCCAUUAUAUAUAACUACUUUAUCUUAAAUAAUAAUUUCUUUAGGACAACAACUGAGUAAUGACGGAGAAAGACUGAAAGAGCCACUCAGUUUGGAUAAGCACGCAUUGCCCAAUGCCAAAUCCCAACGCCUAUUUAAGUGCAUACCAGGCUUCAUUCUACAAAUUCAGAGCAUGAAUUAGCAAAGCUGAUCAAGAGCACACUAGUUUCCACAAUGAAGAAGUCUGAGGUCACUGUUUCUUCAUCGUCGGGAAGAUCGGUCACAAACAAUGCUACUGAUAAUUUUAUCGAUGGCGUCAGCAAACAAAUCAUCGGUUUCCAGCAACACAAGACGGAGAUCAAUGAUCUCAAGAGGCAGAAUAAGGAGCUGUCGAAGCAGAACAAGGAGCUGAUGGAUCAGUACCAAGAGCUGCCUUCUCUUUGAAAAAAGUAUGAAGAUCUGACCAAGAAGUAUGAAAAUCUGACCAAAAAACGGAACGAAGAUCUGGCCAAGCUCAAGAAGGAGAAGGAAGAUAUGGAGAAGGAGAUACGAGGGCUUCGGGAGAGGAUCAAAGAGCUAGAGGAACAGGUCUGUUGUGACAGUUGUGUAAUUCUAUGAUUAAUUGUGUGUAUUUUCCUAGCCAUGAACGAGUUUACGCACGGCCUAGUGUUAGUAAACGCGAGCUGUUAUGUCAGAUUAUUGCAUGCUAGGUUUGAGUUUGGUUGAGAAGUGUUGCGCUGUUUCCUGAUGUAAUGCAUGCACUUUGUUUUCUGUUGGUGCGUUUGUCUUAUCAGGCAGCCGAUCCUAGACGUUCUGGCACUUAAAA